GUGGGCUUCACAUGGAAGGUCAUAGCAAAGCAGCCUGCUGAUCUAAGCAUCCAAUUCACUGUCCUUGACUUUUCACUCUCCAGUGUUCAUCUCUUGGCUUAUGACAUAUAUAUGCCAACAUGUGUUUGCUAAAGGUUCCAGGAAAUUAUGAUGAUAGUGACCACUUAUUGAAACUUACUACAAGGAGAAGAUGCCCUCGUCUGUGGUGGGAUGGGGCAGGAAGAAAGCCUCUGGGAUUGGAAGAGUAGAGGGAUCAAAAAGUUACCUGGAACAGUCAACCAUCUCUAGCCACCUGCUCUGCAUCCUAGUUUCAUUUUAAAAAUAUAUGGUGGUAUUCUCUGAAAAGAGGCAGCUGUUGUCGGUGGCCCCCAGGAAUAACUCUGUAAAUUACAAAGGAGACUCCAUUUUAACAGGCCUAUGUGGUCCCUUUUGUCCUCCUUUUGGUAAGUUAUCCCUUACUUUUGAGGGCCACAAAGCAUUUGCUAAAGGAGGGCAUAACGAAGGUCCAGGUAGAGAUUAGACAUACUCUCUGACAUGAAGAAACUUUCAUUAUGGUAGAAAGGGAAUAAUUGAUUGCUCAGCCAUUUACAGUUGUAUUAAGUCAAGACGUUGGGCUGUUGUUAGUCUUGUUAAGUGCUUCUUGUUUAUCAAUUACUUUUUAUCAGUUACUUCGACCUGGGCAGUGUGGGAGAGACAGAUGCUGCUCUCCAGGAGCUCAGUCUAUUAGAGGAGACAUGUUGGUAACUGCAACAAAAGCCAGCCUCUCCUCAGGGUGUUUACAAAGGUGUCCUGUGCUGCAGGAGUAGAGGGGCAGGAGGGAUUCAUUUUGUCUGGGAUGAUUUAGAAAGGAGUUUUGGAGAAGCUGGGCUCUGAGUUGUAGGUUGUGCCUUGAAAAAUCACAGAUGGCAAGGAUCCCAGAUGAAGAAGCAUCUAGCACAACAGCCCAUGGCAAGGCACGUUUGGGAAAUGGCAAGGCAAUCAGUGUGGCUAAGAGGUAGAAGGUGCUGUAAUGUAAGGUGGGCUUUGGGGCUAAAUUGUGGAGAACAUUGAAGGCCAAGCCGAGGACUUUGGCUUUGUCUGUGCAAUGAGGUGCCAGCAAAGCCUCCUCCACCACCUGGUAGAAUUUACAUAGUGUGUCAACAGUUUUUGAACAGGAUAAUGAUCAUUAUCAUAGUGAUGUUCGUAAUCAGUUGUUCAUUGUAAUGAAGAAAUUUGGCCAUUUUUCAGUAUUUCUGAGAUGUCAGGCCAAAAAAUAAAAUGUGUUAGUAAUUGUUACGCACGAGAGAGGCAACAUGGGGAAGUUGUGGAGUACUGCACCAGAAAGCCAAAGCCUUGGGUUUGAGUACUGGUUCUGUGGUAUGCCAGCUGUGUCCCCAGGGUUAUUCACUUAUUCUCUGUUGGCCUCCAUGGGCUUAUCUAUUAAAGGGGCAUGACCAUUGCCUUCUCAGAUAGUUAUGUUAUUGAAGUGAUAUAAUAGAUAAAAGCUUUUGUAAAUUAUAAAAUACCGUCUGUAAGUGAAGAGCUGUUUUUUAUGAAGAACAAAAAGUUUAAAUGAAGCUGCAUUCGAGAGGAGAGGUUCCUACAGGCAUUUCAGUCCCUUUAACCUAAAGCCAGAAGGGGGAGGAGUUCCCUCCCACUUUCACUUCCUACCCGAGGCCUUAUUUUAGUUUUUCAUUUUGUAUGUCUUACAAUCAGUCCAGCUCUAACGUUUUUCUCCAAAUCCAGCAACCUUUGAGUCUAACUUUAUGCCCCGUCUAACCAAUGGGCUGUGGAGCAUUCAUUCAUUCAUUCAUUCAUUCAUUCAUUCCACAAGUGUUUAUUGAGUACCAACUCUUCUAGGCACUUGGAAUACAUCCGAGAAUAAAAUAAAGAGCCUUGCUCUUGUGGAGCUUACAUUCCAUUUGGCCUGGGGCAGGGGUGUGGGGGGCGGGGGGGCAAGCAAUAAACAGCUAAACAUAGUAAAGUUACAAGUAUAGUAUAUGAGAAGAUGACAAGUGCUGUGUAAGAAAUAGGGCAGGGUAAGGGGAGUUGAGUGUGCUGGAUGUUAGAGCAGUUUGCAAUUUAAAUGAAAGAAAAAUCUUAUGUGAAAGGACUUUGUAAAUGGAAAAGUCCUAAACAAAUAUUCAAGAUGAAUACUUGUAGACUAGUUUGAAAACUGCCAAGGUUGUCUGCAUCCUUUUAGAGCAUCAUCUGCUUCAAGGAACUUCAUUCACUCAUUCAAUCAAUCAAUCAAUAUUUAUUGAGUGCCCGCUUGGUUGAAUGAAUAAAUGCUGAUGAUAAUAAUGAUAGCUAUUAUUAUGAAGUGCCUACUAAAGCAUUAUUUAUGUAUGUGAUCUCAUUUAAUCCUUGUAACAACUCAGUAAUGCAGACACAUGUUCCCAAGUGAGCAGCACUCUGGAGUGUGGGCAAUGAUUCUGAUUAAGGAAAUCGUUCUUCAUUCUGAAAAGCAAAUGUGGGAACAAAAUGGCUUUGAUGAGGAUUACUGAUGUUUUUCAGGUUGUCAGGGUCAGCUGCUCAGCAAAUUCUGGCAGUGACUUUCUUUCCAUUCCCUUUAGUGCCAUUGCUUUAUCAGUAGUCACCAGUGGACUCAAGACAUGGCUGUUUUAAAGAAGUUCUCUCAGCAGCUGCUGAAGUAGACAGGUUGGUGUGGUUGGUGGUCGCCUUAGCAUACACAAUGGAGGCCUCCUUGUGUUCAAAUCCUCAAUUUCAUAAGGUGAAGUCAUGUGUCCUUUCAUUAGAGAGGAACCAUAUUAAGAAUUAUGUGAGUGAGUGGACCUUUUAGGUCUCUUCGAUUCCAGCUACUAAGCGAAUAACAAGUAUGUUUCCAGGUUGGAAGCACUAAGAAAGGAGAUGAGGAGGAAGGGACUUGGAAAAGGUAAAAUUGGAAACGAGGAAGAAAAGCAGAUGAAAGGCCCUGGUCACAGUUCCAGGCUAGGCUGAACUCUGCUCAGUUAGGAGAAGGACCUAGUUCACUCUCCUUCCCCCCACCCAUCACUCCCCCUCUUUCCCUCCUCUCUUCCCCCUCCCAUGCCCUACUUUCCUUCCCUCCCCCUCUCCUCCUUCUCUCCUAGAGCUGCAGCUCACUAAAUAUCUGGCUAUUACUGAGCUGGAGAUCCAGCUAGAGAUGACACUGCUUUCUGCUGGAGAAACCAGCAGAGGAUGGGCUAUCAAACCCUGCCAGUUCUGCUCUUUUAAUUUAUAGCUUUUCAUUCCAUGGUUUCCUUUCUAUACUCAAAGCCACUGCCUCACCAUCUCUUUACUGGUUUAUUAAAAUAGCUUCUUAAAUUCUAAGCUUUCUGCUAUCCAGAUGUAACCCUGCAACUUACCUGUGUGGGGUUAUUCAGUGGUUCUCCACUUCCUUUAGAAUAAAACUAGGCUCUUGAAUGUGGCCUGCAAGGAUCUUCCUGAUCUGGCCUCUACCUGUCUCUUCAUUCCUUCCCAGUUAUGUGACUAGAUCUUUAUGUUUUAGCUCUAGUUUUACCUCCUCCAAGCAGAGUUCCCUGAUCCCCAGGCAUGGUUGUGUUCUUGCCUGUGUAGAUUUUUGUAUAUAAUGUUGCUUUAAUUACAGAGUGUCUUCAUUGGUUGCUUGCUUUGCUCUCUCUGCACCAGAUUGCCAGUUACUUGAGAUCAGCUUUACUCAUUUUGUCCCCCACCUUUUGGUUUGUUCAGCCACCACAUUUAACUGUGGAGUGACUUACCUUCUUGUCUGUCUGGCACACAUCAUUUAAUUUCUCCUACCCGAGCCUUCCUUUUCAAUUUAAUUCAUUUUAGUUCAUGCCAUUUACCAGAUAGUGUGGCAGUUUCUGGGAACAGGAACGUAAGGAAGAUAUGGUUGCUGUUUGGGGGGUCUCACAGUUUCAUGGGGAGACUGCUGGGGACAGAAAUUCUUCAUUACAGUCUGUAGAGCCUGCAGACCCUUGGGAGAAUCCUCAGGCCUUUCCACCAAGUCUUCAACAGGAACAGCCCUGCUUGUCUCUUAUUGUUGGGAUUUUUGUAGAAGCUUUUGGAGGCAGAGGGCGGUGGGGCAGCAAAGGCAAAAAACCAAAAAGGUAGUUACUUAGAUACCACUAUUUUAAAGUAAAACCUACGGUGUUAAGUGCUGUAAAACAGUCUAAACAAAAGAGACACUCUGUCUUCUUGUUUGACAAAAGUCUUUUUUAUUUUUUUAUUUUUUUCUUGUUAAGGUCCAGCCAUUCUGUUUAUACUUCCAGGAAGUUUGGAGAUAGAUGGGUGCCCUUCCACCAUUCCCACCAUCUUACUGAGUGGAUAAGAUACUUUCCCUUUCUCCACUAUUUAAUUCAGAGGUCUUCAAACUUUUGGGGAGGCAACAGUUUAGCUAUCUCAAAGCAUAAAGCUACCCAAAGACAGGUUGUGCUAAAUUCCCUGUUUGGGGCCAGAGCUAGUGGGUUCUCUCUUCUGUACAGGCAGAGCAUUCUGUAUUGACCUCUGCAACAGCCACUAACACAGUGUAAUGCUAUUGCCUAUUUUGUAUUCGUCAGCCCCCCACCCCUGAGAUAAUCCGAUCCUCUUAAUGGCAUGGCCUUUCUGUGUGCCCUAGCAGUGGGCCCUGCAGAGAAUGAGUGCUUCUUCAGGUUUGAGCAGAGAAGGGAAGAAAUGGGAGAGGGGAGGGGAAGGGGAGGGGAUGGUGUGGAGAAGUCUUGACCACAGAGGGCUGACUAAUUGCCAGAACAAGGCCUAGGAAAGAAUCUGGGCCUGAAGAGCUGAGUGGUAACGGGAGUAGUGGAGUAUGUAUGAGGACAGGGGAGGAGAGCAAGGGCCAUGGUAUUCAGGGAUUCUACUCUCCAAGCGUUUCCUGAUGACUUCUGUGGGAAAGCAUUUCUCACUUCCUGGAAUCCAGCCCUUCCCUAUUUCUAGGCCUGAGCUGUGAAGGUUCAGCUGUCUUUGAAAGGGUUUCCUCUGUAACAUGGGGACUCUAAUCCAGAGGCUGAAGAGGAGUCACAGUCUUUCUGAGUCUAGUAAGUUGUCACUUGACCUGAAGGGUUUUAGGCAGAUACUUUAGGAGAAGGUCAAAUGUGGCCUUAGGGAAACUAGCAUUUCCAGAUCGCAUGCUCAAAGCUCUGUCCAGGGUACAUUCACUUGUGAGUUUAUUUAUCCAUCCUCCAUCCUAUCCCCCCACCCCCGGGUCACCGCGUGUGAUGUUCUUCAAGGCCUUCUCUUUACUAAAUUGCUAAGAGUCAGGAUUUGUAUUUGAAUCUGCAGCCUCAUGCGGAGCAGGACAAAUCUCUUCAACUUUGAACAGCCGUGAUUUCAUGCCACAGGAGAAGAGGAUAGUUUGUUUUUUUUUUUUUUCUGAUUUUGAUUGAUUGAUAUUGAUAUUUUAGUUACUAACGUGCUGCAUUAUUCUACUUUGGCCACCCUGAUAAUAACUUUUGAUGCUUCACACAGGGAGAUCACUGUUUUCCCCCACUGCUUAAGAAAGAAAAAUUUUGUGAAAACUUUGGAUGUGAGAGUCAUGCAAAAACGCAUAGCAAUCAUCAGGAAAAUGUCUUCAUUAACGCAGAAACAAUGGUUCCUUACCCACCAGUAUGUUAAUGUAUGUUAAACCAGUCUGUUGACAUGUAAAUUCUAAUUUGCACACCUCAGGUUUUACCUGCCUCACUCACUGCUAGGACUUCUGAGGAAACCCUCUUUGAAAAAAUGUUUCUAGCUUUUAUGUCCUACAGUUUCCCCAACAGACAGAAUUCCAACAAGCAAUGACUCUGUAGGAUGACUAAAGAACUGAGGCAUCUGCCAAACUAAGACGUGCUUGCUUAAUAAAGGAAAAAACAUUCAGCCUAGUUUUCAUAACAUAUUUUGCAAUUGAGAGUUUUAUUAACCAUUUAUCCUGUGAGCAUUCAGAAAGGGUACAAGAAGAAUCAAAGGAUACAAUUUUAGAAAUCUCAAUAACCAUAAGUCUGCCUUAAUAGUUCAUGCACAUCAUGCAUGUUGGGACCGAAAGAUAGUAAGAUAUCUCCACUGUCUUUAUUCAGUCUUAUUUAAUAUAUUAUUAAAAUUGGGCAAGGGACCAGCUCAGACCCGUGUAUGAAUGAGCAUAUGGCUGUUGGUCAAGUUGGCCACUGAAUCCACUCACUACUGUAGCUAUGGAGUAGGAGAAACUUUAUUUCAGACACGCUGUCAACCAGGAAUUGACUUGUCUGGACAAGACAGUUUGUUUGCUUUUAUUGUCCUCAAAUUAAACUACUCUCUGUCCGACUCUUCAA